rnacentral:snRNA from 8 species
GUGCGAGGCUCAGCCAUUGCACUCCGGCUGUGCUGACCCCUGCGAAUUUCCCAAAUGUGGAAAUCUCGAUUGCAUAAUUUAUGGUAGUGGGGGACUGCGUUCGCGCUCUCCCCUG